AAUUGUAAUUGGAGUUGAUGCUGGCAGGCUUGGCUGCAUGUGCUCGCUCCUAACAAUCUUCAUCCAAACACCUGUGCACAUUUAGAGAGGGUCUCCGAGUCCUCCUUGGAGUCCCUUCCUCUCAUUACACACUUUAUUUCAAUGUUGAACGUGAUUGUGCCGUAAGGCCUUAAUAUUAAUACAACUUUUAACAACGGAUCUCUUGGCUCUCGCAUCGAUGAAGAACGCAGCGAAAUGCGAUAAGUAAUGUGAAUUGCAGAAUUCAGUGAAUCAUCAAAUUUUUGAACGCACCUUGCGCUCCCUGGUAUUCCGGGGAGCACGCCUGUUCGAGUGUCGUGAAAUUCUCAAACCGGGAUGCUUUUUUUGUUUCUCGGCUUGGUGUUGGGCUUUGCAGUUCCUUUGAUUGGGAUGGCUGGCCUUAAAAGCAUUAGCUGGCUUUUCAUGUGGCAUUGGUUCUACUCAGCGUGAUAAUGAUCUGACCGCCGAGGACAUCUUUCGAGGUGGCCAAUUCUCAUUUGGGCUGCUUCUAAUUUUGGUAGAGCAGAUUCUGAAUCUGUUCCACUUUUCAGCUUUUGACCUCGAAUCAGGUGGGACUACCCGCUGAACUUAAGCAUAUCAAUAAGCGGAGGA
rnacentral:rRNA from 1 species